UGUUCCACUACACUAGAUUUGAUGCCACUCAUUUAUGUCAUGAUGUUAUACGUGUCUCAAUACACUACAUUGACAUGCCACUCGUUCUUGUUAUAUUGUCUCUACUUUACUAGUCCAAUGCCACUUAUUAUGUCAUGAUGUUGUAUGUGUCUCAAUACACUAAAUUGACAUGCCACUCGUUCACAUUAUAGUAUCUCUACUAUACUAAUUCAAUGUCGCUUGUUUUCAUCAUCACAACUCCAAGUUCAUCAUCAUUCUUGUCACUAUAGGAUUCUUGUCACAUGACCCAAUCCUCAUGCAACAUAAGAUCAAGUGUCAAGCCCACAAUGCUACACAACAUAGGAAACAUGCAAGGAAUGGAAAUGUAAUCAUCUACUAAUCCUAUAAUGCAUAACAUCGAUAUAUGAAUAUGAUCAACCAUAUAGAACUUAGACAUAAAAGGAAGCCCGGUUGCUUCGGGAUGGACACCCCCCACCUUUUAUCGCGUUCCGAUUGCUUGUCGACACUUGCAAGCGGCCUCCCGCGGCACCCGUGAUCCGGUUCGGGCCACACUCUUGCGCGACCACCCGAACGGCCACCAAUCCACGAUCCGUCUAUUCUGGAGUUUAUUCCCCGAUACCACGAUGCUACGAUUCCAUUUUCAUGAUUUUUGGAAGCUUACGCCGCAAGCUACGACAAUCUAUACCUUAACGGCUUCGAUCCUCAAUAUCUCCGCGUACGCUCGUUGGAUCGCCGAACCGAGCGCACCGUUGCGUUCGUAGACCUACUAAUUAGGUUAGAGAAUGGUCAAUUGAGAUCAAAACCCCUUAUGAGAAAAAGCCCUCUUUUUGGAGCCCUAAUCCACCAUUGUUGCAAUUAGCUUCAUACAAACUAUUAUUCUUGCAAUAAAUGAGAUUUAAUACUCUUAGAGCAUCAAUAAACAUCAUCUAGCUAAGUUCAAAGAGGUCUAAGCCAUGCUCUAGUCAUUCACCAUGAGAGGCUCCAAGAGCUUACCUCAACUAGGUAGCAAAAAGAUGAAGAAGAUGAUGUUGGUCCUUCUCCAAACUCCAAUCUCCUUCUUUUCCUCCUCUUGAUCCCACCCUUGUAGAGAGAGGAAAAGCUUCUAGAGAGAGAGAGGGUGUUUGUUGGGUGGUUGCAAAUGAGAAAAAUGAGAGGAAAUGGGUUCUACACCUCUCUAAUAGCUCAAUUCGUGCAACAAUUACAAAACAACCACUCAACUUUGUAUUUUCUGCACUGCCCCCACGGGGGCCAUUUUUUGUAUAGGGGACCGGUCCCUGGCAGUGAGAGACCGGUCCCCGAACGUCCAGAAUUCCAGCAUUUUUAGGACUUAGCCAAAUUUCAGCCUUUUUCGUUUUCGGGGUCCGUUUUCGCUCGUUUUUGCUCGUUUGACCUCCGAUUCAUUUCAAAUCGAACCGAGACUCUCCAAACAUGUUUUCGAGCGUAUUUUCAUCAUCUUUUCAUCCGCGCUAAUGCCGGAUUUAGUCCAUGGUCCGACAUAGCCUUUCGGGUCCCGUUUUUGCGCCUACGCGCACCGAAACGCCCAAAUGCUUCCAAACUUCACCGAACUUCACCGGAACCAUUCAAAUGGCUUUCCAACCAAAUGUACACCGUAACUUCAUAACUUAGAAGUUCGUUAUCUUACA
rnacentral:lncRNA from 1 species